UCAUUUCCUAUAUGACAGUGAAUAUAGCUACAGCAACAGGAUGGUGGACAUUAUGGUCUACAUGACCUCCAACGAGUAAGAAACCCUGAACCACUGCCCCCCACCCCCAGCAAAAACACUGAGAGCAAGAGAGAGGCCCUCAGUUGCUGAGGAGUUGCUGUCCCAACUCAGCCCCACACUGAGCAUCUCCCUCACAAUUUUCAUCCCAGACACCCAUAGCAACAGGAGGGACCUAGGGAGCCCUCCCUAAUUUCUUGAACACUAUCAGUAAAAUUCACUGCACCCCCCAAAAGAAAUUAGAUGUCAACAAACCAAAUAACCCACUUAAAAAUGGGAUACAGAGCUAAAUGUAGAAUUCUUAACAGAGUAACCUUGAAUGGCCAAGAAGCACUUAAGGGAAUGUUCAGUGUUUUGGUCACAAAGGAAAUGCAACUCAAAACAACCCUGAGAUUCCAUCCAGAUACUUUGUUAGAAUGGCUAAGA
rnacentral:lncRNA from 1 species